rnacentral:rRNA from 1 species
UACGUAGGGUGCGAGCGUUAAUCGGAAUUACUGGGCGUAAAGCGUGCGCAGGCGGUUCGACAAGUCCGAUGUGAAAGCCCCGGGCUCAACCUGGGAAUGGCAUUGGAAACUGGCGAGCUUGAGUGUGGCAGAGGGGGGUGGAAUUCCGCGUGUAGCAGUGAAAUGCGCAGAUAUCAGGAAGAACACCCGUGGCGAAGGCGGCUCUCUGGUACGUGACUGACGCUGAGACGCGAAAGCGUGGGGAGCGAACAGG